AACGAACGCUGGCGGCAGGCUUAACACAUGCAAGUCGAACGGGCACCUUCGGGUGUCAGUGGCAGACGGGUGAGUAACGCGUGGGAACGUACCCUUCGGUUCGGAAUAACCCAGGGAAACUUGGGCUAACACCGGAUACGUCCGCAAAGGAGAAAGAUUUAUCGCCGAAGGAUCGGCCCGCGUCGGAUUAGCUAGUUGGUGGGGUAAUGGCCCACCAAGGCGACGAUCCGUAGCUGGUCUGAGAGGAUGANCAGCCACACUGGGACUGAGACACGGCCCAGACUCCUACGGGAGGCAGCAGUGGGGAAUAUUGGACAAUGGGCGAAAGACCUGAUCCAGCCA
rnacentral:rRNA from 1 species